UGGGGAAUAUUGCACAAUGGGGGAAACCCUGAUGCAGCGACGCCGCGUGAGCGAAGAAGGUUUUCGAAUCGUAAAGCUCUGUCCUAUGAGAAGAUAAUGACGGUAUCAUAGGAGGAAGCCCCGGCUAAAUACGUGCCAGCAGCCGCGGUAAUACGUAUGGGGCGAGCGUUGUCCGGAAUUAUUGGGCGUAAAGGGUACGUAGGCGGUCUAUUAAGUCAGGUGUGAAAGCGUGAGGCUUAACCUCAUUAAGCACUUGAAACUGAUAGACUUGAGUGAAGGAGAGGAAAGUGGAAUUCCUAGUGUAGCGGUGAAAUGCGUAGAUAUUAGGAGGAAUACCGGUGGCGAAGGCGACUUUCUGGACUUUUACUGACGCUCAGGUACGAAAGCGUGGGGAGCAAACAGGA
rnacentral:rRNA from 1 species